UGUCGCUGGUGCUGCUGAAAGGCGGGACGAGAGGAAAGUCCGGGCAGCAUAGGACGCCCCACUUCUGAAAGUGGAAGCUGUUGGUGACAGCAGGAUAAAGGCAGAAGAAAACAACCGCCACGCCUUGUGUGUGGUAAGGGUGAGAAGGUGGUGUAAGAGACCACCAGCCGUCGGGCGAUCGGCGGGCUGUGCCUUCUGGGGGCUGCAAGUUCAUGUAAACCAUCGUUAAAAGGGUUGUCCGCCCAAAUGCCUCGCGCUGCGAUGGAGGGUAGAAUGCUUAAGCCGUGUGGUGACAUACGGAUUAGAUAAAUGACAGGCGCGCCGCUGCUCGCAGUGGUGAACAGAACCCGGCUUAUAGGG
rnacentral:RNase_P_RNA from 1 species